GUAUUUUUUUUUAUAAAAUUUUAAACCCUAAUUCCAAAACCCCACCCCUUAACUCUAAACCCUAAGGUUUGGAUUAAUUAACCCAAAGGGUAUAAGUGUAUAUUUACCUCUUUAAUGAAAUCUAUUUUUGUGAUUUUGAGCCUUGAGUGCUACUUUGGGAACAUAAACUUGGUUUAGUGCUAUUCUAGUCUUUUUCUCAACUAUGUAUUGGCAGUUAAUUACUGGAAUAUAAAAUGGUACUCAUUAGUUUGUUAAAAGAGUACAGAAAUAUUUAACAAAUAUUACCAAGUUGGAAUUAUUCACGUGCUUAAUCAGGAAUGUAUUAAAUGAAACUUACAACUAUCGAUCAACGUUUUGUUUACUACACAGUACACAUACAUUACAAAAUAAAUAUAGUUUCCAAAAUCGUAGCGUAUAUAGCUCAAUAGCCUCAAUAAAUGAUAGUAGGUUUUAAUCAAGGUGUUGACUUAUAUGUAUGUUCGUAUGCCUUCAAGUUGAAGAGGGACUCACGCAGCAUCACGGGACUUACAUGAACGUGUUGUUUGUUUGGUGGGUCUCCAAGCCUCGUGAUAUUUAUUUCCCUCUGAUGAAACCGUUGGUCUAUAAUCUAUAUAUUCACCUGUUUUUACUUUGUCAAUGAAAAUUGUUGUCUGAGAUGUAAACUCAUAUAUUUUCUUGAAAAAGUGAGAAGUGGUAGUUAAUUUUAUUUAUUUUUACUUGAAAGUUACAUAGAUGUGGAGCACCAGGAACCCUGAUUAUCAGCUGGCCGGAGCUGCUAAGUUGGAUUCGAAACGCAGCCACUGGACCGCUUGCUAUCCUGCGUCGCAUGGCCACUCAAGCAACAAUCUAUCACCUCUGGAAACAAAGAAAUAAUCUGAUUCAUAACCAAAUCUCAUUGUCUCCUCAUGUGGUUUUUCAAGGCCUAGAAAGGGAAGUGAGGAAUGGUAUUUCGGCGAGAAGGCACUUGAAAAAGUUUUCUUCUUUGAUGGUCUUAUGGUUAAGAUAAUACUCUUACCAGUGGUGUCUUAAUUCAUCUCCUUUGGUUCAUUCUGUUUUUUCUCGUCUUUUGCCGGGGUGUUCUAACCUUAAGGUUCUGCUUUUGUAAAAACCUUUUAAUCAUCUAAUGAUAUUUAAGUUAGCAAAAAAAAAAAAUUAGAAUGUUCACA